GACGAACGCUGGCGGCGUGCUUAGCACAUGCAAGUCGAACGGAAAGGCCCUGCUUUUGUGGGGUGCUCGAGUGGCGAACGGGUGAGUAACACGUGAGUAACCUGCCCUUGACUUUGGGAUAACUUCAGGAAACUGGGGCUAAUACCGGAUAGGAGCUCCUGCUGCAUGGUGGGGGUUGGAAAGUUUCGGCGGUUGGGGAUGGACUCGCGGCUUAUCAGCUUGUUGGUGGGGUAGUGGCUUACCAAGGCUUUGACGGGUAGCCGGCCUGAGAGGGUGACCGGCCACAUUGGGACUGAGAUACGGCCCAGACUCCUACGGGAGGCAGCAGUGGGGAAUAUUGCACAAUGGGCGGAAGCCUGAUGCAGCAACGCCGCGUGCGGGAUGACGGCCUCCGGGUUGUAAACCGCUUUCGCCUGUGACGAAGCGUGAGUGACGGUAAUGGGUAAAGAAGCACCGGCUAACUACGUG
rnacentral:rRNA from 1 species